CCAUCUAUUGGAAACAAUACAAAUUAUUAGAAAUUAGAACAGAACUAAUCUUAUUAUAUGUGUGUCUAAAACAAAUGUACAAUUUAUCGGAUUUAAAAGCAAGUCCCAAGUCUGAGAUAUUCAUUUUUAGAGAAUCCUCCACCUCUUAAUAUGAGGCUCCUUGGUUUCCUUUUCAUUCUUGUUAUCACUUUAUUGGGAAGCCAUUGCAAGUGUCCUGUGAACACUCUUUCCUAUGAGCCCCAUUGUGGAUUCGACAGGGAGUGCGCCUACCAAGGAGCCAAUAAAAAGGACGUAGACAAUGAAAACUGCAGAAGAAAGGCUCACAAAAUUCCAGCUAAGAUUUAGAAAUUAUCCUUUUUUUAUGAUUAUUUUUUAAUUAUUUUUUUUAGCCUUAAUUGGACUAUAUAAAGGAUGGUGUUCGACUAAAAAAACAAAAUGUGUUCCAACCCCUGACAUUGAAUAAAUUAUUGAUAAAUUUAAAAAAAAAUAAAAAAUUAAUUGUCAAAAACGAUAAGAAAAUUAUAAUUAUUAUCUACUGAA